UGGGGAAUAUUGCACAAUGGGCGCAAGCCUGAUGCAGCCAUGCCGCGUGUAUGAAGAAGGCCUUCGGGUUGUAAAGUACUUUCAGCGGGGAGGAAGGCGAUAAGGUUAAUAACCUUGUCGAUUGACGUUACCCGCAGAAGAAGCACCGGCUAACUCCGUGCCAGCAGCCGCGGUAAUACGGAGGGUGCAAGCGUUAAUCGGAAUUACUGGGCGUAAAGCGCACGCAGGCGGUCUGUCAAGUCGGAUGUGAAAUCCUCGGGCUCAACCUGGGAACUGCAUUCGAAACUGGCAGGCUUGAGUCUUGUAGAGGGGGGUAGAAUUCCAGGUGUAGCGGUGAAAUGCGUAGAGAUCUGGAGGAAUACCGGUGGCGAAGGCGGCCCCCUGGACAAAGACUGACGCUCAGGUGCGAAAGCGUGGGGAGCAAACA
rnacentral:rRNA from 1 species